GUCCAACGUACCGACUAACGGCGAUGGUGACCUAUCUUGACGACACGCGGAGGCAGAUCUCGAGCGAAUGCUAGCCUCUAGAACGAUCACUGCUGCCGCGAGCUCCCCGUAGUUGAACUCGAUCAACUCGACUGGUGAGCUCUUUUAAGGUGAGUGAUCGACUGAGAGACAGGUAACUCGCGCGAUCGAUACGUAUUUCCGUGUUUGUGUUUGUGUAUGGGUCGGUAUGUGGGGUCCCCAACACUGACUGCUUCUUCUGCUGACUGCUGCUGGUAUUGCUGCUACUUUUUACUCUUUUAUUUUUCUACGCUUUAGACCUUAAUCCAACACUGCUGCACGGCAAAUCGCGCACCAAUUUGAGCACUCUGAGGUCGGAAAUUUAUUGCACGACUUUCACACACUUUUCUUCCAAUAGACUGAUCGAGUGAUCGAUAUGCACAUGCACUUCUCUACUGCGAUUUACCCGACGUCGACUACGAUGAUUAUGGUGGAGAUAGAUCGCACUCCCUGGUUACC